rnacentral:rRNA from 1 species
UACGAAGGGGGCUAGCGUUGCUCGGAAUUACUGGGCGUAAAGGGUGCGUAGGCGGGUCUUUAAGUCAGAGGUGAAAUCCUGGAGCUCAACUCCAGAACUGCCUUUGAUACUGAGGAUCUUGAGUUCGGGAGAGGUGAGUGGAACUGCGAGUGUAGAGGUGAAAUUCGUAGAUAUUCGCAAGAACACCAGUGGCGAAGGCGGCCUUCUGGACCAAUACUGACGCUCAUGCACGAAAGCGUGGGGAGCAAACAGG